ACUGCUCAGUAACACGUAGUCAACAUGCCCAGAGGACGUGGAUAACCUCGGGAAACUGAGGAUAAACCGCGAUAGGUCAUAAUAUCUGGAAUGAUUUAUGAUUUAAAUCUAUAUGGCCUCUGGAUUGGACUGCGGCCGAUCAGGCUGUUGGUGAGGUAAUGGCCCACCAAACCUGAAACCGGUACGGGCUCUGAGAGGAGAAGCCCGGAGAUGGGCACUGAGACAAGGGCCCAGGCCCUAUGGGGCGCAGCAGGCGCGAAAACUCUGCAAUAAGCGAAAGCUUGACAGGGUUAUUCUGAGUGAUUUCCGCUAAGGAAAUCUUUUGGCACCUCUAAAAAUGGUGCAGAAUAAGGGGUGGGCAAGCCUGGUGUCAGCCGCCGCGGUAAUACCAGCACCCCGAGUGGUCGGGACGAUUAUUGGGCCUAAAGCAUCCGUAGCCGGUUCUACAAGUCUUCCGUUAAAUCCACCUGCUUAACAGAUGGGCUGCGGAGGAUACUAUAGAGCUAGGAGGCGGGAGAGGCAAGCGGUACUUAGUGGGUAGGGGUAAAAUCCGUUGAUCCAUUGAAGACCACCAGUGGCGAAGGCGGCUUGCCAGAACGCACUCGACGGUGAGGGAUGAAAGCUGGGGGAGCAAACCGGAUUAGAUACCCGGGUAGUCCCAGCUGUAAACGAUGCAGACUCGGUGAUGAAUAGGCUUCGUGCCUAUUCAGUGCCGCAGGGAAGCCGUUAAGUCUGCCGCCUGUGGAGUACGGUCGCAAGACUGAAACUUAAAGGAAUUGGCGGGGGAGCA
rnacentral:rRNA from 1 species